GGUUGUAUACUUUUAUUUAAAAGUACAAGGACGAUGGUAACCUCACAAGUAAUGUGCUAAGGACCUGGCUGGUCUCUUGGGCUUUUAGGGAGUAUAGAAAGCAAUUAAAAGGAAUAAGAGGUGCUAGGAAGGAGUGGAGUUAUUUCUUCAUACUGCCCUUCAUCACAAGGAUGUUGUGAGCAUUUUAUUCUUUUCAAAUAAUGUUGAUUGGAUGUUAUCUGAUUAUGGGAUUAGAGAAGCAGAAGACUGAAUGCUAGAAUAAAGUGCUAAAGACUACUAAGUCACAAGGACUCGAUGCUAUUCAUUCAUUUAGUGGUUCUAAAGGAUGAAGUGGCUGAUCUGCUAAGAAGCAUGCAUCUCGUUAGGAUGAGAUGCUGUGCCAGAAGACCGGAAGCUGUCAAGUGCUGUACAUACUGUACUUUUAAACUGAACACAAGGAGAGCAGAGCUGGAAUUUGCAGACCAAGGACUCUUAUUUUAAUGCCACUUAAGUAGAUUUGAAUUCUGCAUGGAUAGUCAAGUAGUUCUGUGAGCACAAGACAACAGCUUUCUAUGCAGUUGUAUCUUAGAAGUAAUGAAGAAUAUCAGCUGCAACUGGAGUAUUUGUAAUGUGUCUCUUGCUUGUGUGUUUGCUCCCCAAGGCAUAGGCUGCAGUCUCUACUUGAGUUUGGUCUGUUUGUGGGUUGGUCUUCUAUAGCUACUUGCCCAGUACUUGGAUUUCUGAAAUUCUUAUUUAACUGUAAAUGGCUUUUCAAUUUUCCUUUUUGAUAAAAUUUGAAAUCAGGUAGUGGAUUUGAAAGUUAGAAGAGGCCAGGCCUAACCUAAGCAGACAUGUUAAACUGGGUUAAUCUCUUCUGUGUUUAGCAGUCUAAACAAUGACUAAGUUGCUUCUGUUCUUAGUAGACAAGAGAGGGAUGGACUCGCAUGCUGAUAGACUCACACACCCUUUAGUUUUUUUCAUCCCACCUUAAACUUGCAGUGUAUGGCCUUUGGCAGGAAAUUAUGCCCCAUGCACUUUUGGUGAGGCUCUGCAACUCAUCAUUUUUGAUGCCAUUGUGGGGAUGAUGACCAGUGAUGCAGAGGUGGAACUGAAAGUUAAAGCAGUCCAGCAGUACACUAUGCUGCUUUCAGCGGCAGAGCUGUGAUUUACCUUGUAAUUUACACUCAGAUGACAACACCAGUUUCUUAAGUGCUGACAUUUGUAGCAAUUGGGUGUGUGGUCUUGUUCCCUCACUUUCCUUCCUAUUGUAUUAGCACAGUGAUUUGUGCCAUCGUGCAGCGACUUGAAUCAGAAAAUUGAUCCUGACGUUGAGAGGGGUCUGUGGCAAGCAGCAAUUUCUAACCCAAGCUACUUCCUCACUCUGAUUUAGUGGGUGGCUCCACCAGGAGAUGGGAUCAUGACCCAAGGAUCAGAACAAGCAGCAGGAGAACCUCUCUCUUUGAACUGACAUUUUACCAGAAUUGAUCAUCAGAUUAUGCCUCUAGAAUCUGUGACUCGUCCUCAACUAAGCAUCCCAAGUAAAAUACUGCAUACAUUCUGUAAAAUCAAAGAAAGUUGUGAGAAACUUGAAGGCAGUCUUCUAAAGCCAUCUGCAUUAGCAUGAUGGUGAUAGAUGUCAUUUGAUGUUUUUAGCUACAGAAUAAUUCAUGCUGGAAAGAGUAACUUGAACCACUUGGAGAUAAUUCUAUAUUACAAGCAAAUGUUCUGCAAAAAUAUAUAUAUCAUUCUAGAUACUUAGGUGAAAGCUUAUUUGAAGAGAAGAAAUAUAAAAUGUAUAAGAAACAUCCCUAAAUUGUAUUGAAAUGGUGCUCAGCAGUAGCAUUAAAUGGAAGUUCCUUAUCUGGGCAUCUCUGCUUAGAUGAACUCUUCAUCUAGUUUAAUGAAUUCAUUUAUACUUUAUCAAUCACUGCAUUUACAUAUCCUUUAUGUGUUUUAAAUGCUAUUGUUAAGUAACAAGUUCUUGAAAACUAAGUAAAGUAUUUUAAGUAACUUUACACAAAAAAAGUUGCUGUAUUUCUUGCUUUCAGUUCAAUUACUUCAGAUGAUCUGUAAAUUUUCAAUGAUGGCAAUACAUUCAUUCUGCCAUUUGGAGGAGCCUGUGCCACAGAAUAAUGAUCUGAAGAAAGCUCACUUAUUUGCAAGGAAGAGUCUUCAUUUGGGAAUUAGCACUGAUGCAGCUCAAGGGUGCUUUUCCAAGUCCAGACUCUUUCAGCAGAGCUGUUAUUUUCCUAACACAACCUCUGGUAUAAGGAUAAAAUUGGAUAAAAUAACAGAGUCCUGUAUCUGAAGAGUAAGAAGUGGGAUGAGAAUCUCAGAACUGACUACUGGGGACUCCCAAGCUACAGAUCAGGUUCAUCAACUAGCAAACAAAACCCCCCUACUUUUAAGCACCUCACUUUUCAACACAGAUCAGUCCCUGAAAUGAGACCAUUUAUGCUAUUAAAAAAACCAUUUUGGUAGGUGUGGGUUGCUUGUCAGAAAUCCGUUCUGAAGCUUGAGUGCAAAGGAAGCAAGGUACUAAUGAUGAAUAAGAAUGGAUAUCUUGAGGAUAACAAUGGAUAUGGCAUCUUCAAAAGCGUGGCAUUCUGGUCCUAGUCCUGCAACUGGAUUUGUUCAAAUGGAUCUCAAUAGUCUGGGGGCCUGACGAAGUUCAUAGGACUCUGGUGACUGCAAGUUCUCACUCUGAAGAUUUGAUUGUAGGCCUGAACCUAAAUUUCUGUUUCGUUCUCCUGUCUAUUUGCUUCUUAAAUGAUGAAAAUUAUCCUUUAAAAUGGUGUUGUCUUUAAGUCUCAUGCACAUCCACUUUUGUAGUGUUCAGACACUGUGUGCUUGGGAUGUUGUUGGACAUUGUUAAAAUAUUUCUGUUCUGUUGUACGCCUAAACCUUAUGAUUGCUCUGAUCACUGUGUUAGAUUUUUACAUUUAGUGGCUUUCUACCUAAAAUGGAGAUCAUCACCUGUGUUUUCGAUUGGGAUAUUUCUCUUAACUCAGAUUUUUAAAUCAGAAUAAGUGUUGAAACUGUUCAGGUUAUUUUUAAAGAUGUAGGUAGAUUUGUUUAUUUCUUGCUGGACACAAAGUAUAAUAUUUUAUUUUGCAAAAACGUGGUAACCUAGUGUUACUGAAAGCUUUCAAUAUGAUGAUACUCCAUUGUAAUAAAAUAAGUAGGAAAAUAUAUUACCUUUUACUAGCUAUCCUGUUGCUUUUCUAUUCCUGUGGCUCUGGUUACACAACAUAGAACAGAGUGAAGAUAUUUUUAUUUUUUGUGAGCCAGUGAAUACCUUUUGUUGACAAUGAGUCAUGUUCCGUGUCCUAUUCCGUGUUGCAGCUUCACUGAAUGCUAAAGUUAUAGCCCUGAUAGAAGCUAUAGAAAGGACUUUGAAAAAUCACAUAUAGAGUGUGAGAGGAGAAAUAGAUGUGUUCUAUCUUCAUACAUGUUAGUAUUUAUAUUGUAUAUAUUUUUAAAGCAUGUAUGUAGCAGUAUACAUUAAUUAGGAGAUUAAAAGAUCCAAAACUUCCUUUCUAUAUAGAGCAUCAGAAAAGCUUUUUUUGUUGUUUUUGUAGGCUUAUUGCAAUGAUAUUAAGGAGUUUCACAGUAUUUGGUCAACUUUUGCAUAUUCCCAGAACAGAAAAGUACCAUUGUUCUGUUAGACCAAGGAGAAAACUGAGCCACUUGUUUAGUCAGUAGUAAAGUCAGUGAUACUAAAUGGAUUUUCCUGCAAUUUAACCUUGUGCCUCUGGCUCCAUUUUUCCCUCGAGACCCAAACCUUCCCUUAUCAUCCUCUGCUUUGCAUUUCUACAUGAAAGGCCCAAGGUGUUUCUGUUUGGACUCCCAGAAAAUGAGGAAGAUGAGGCUGAUUGGCCAUCUGCCAAGGUGUGAGGUCUGACUCUCUCCUUGCUCCUGGGGGCUGCUGGUGAAGGCAGAGGCAGAACUGAGUGUUCUGUGUGGCAUUCAACUGCCUUAACCACAUGCCCAUCGCUCUCUUCCUGCAGUUGUCUAUCUUGUUUUCAGCAUAACUCCUAAAGAAAAUACUUACACCAACCAAUAAAUAAUCUAAUUUGAUGCACAGCCCUGAUUCACUUCCUGAGCUGUGUCCUGCACACAUGGAGUGGCCGCAGUCCCGUGGAAAAAUUCAGCACGGUGCAUGAGGCCAAAGAGUAAGGCUGUUAAGUGUUUAAGCUUUGCAAUGAAGCAGUGUUCUUUUAAUGUCACUUAUUACAGCUAUAGCUCAAAGUAUUUUUAACAAGGAGCAAGAGAAAAAUGAAAGCUUUUAGAACUGGUUGUAACCAAUUCCCUGUCUAGCAUGUGAACAUGAAUAUCCACUCAGUGAAACUCAGAACGUCAGCCAAUGGCAGGAGGCUGGCCACCUCCAGGGAGGAAGGGAAGGAAGAGUGCUUAACACCAUGGGUAUAUCCAGUUUGCAUCCAAGUCUCUGGGACUAUUUGUAGAGUGUUGACCCCAGCUCUUUAGCUUUUGUUUUCUCUUCAGCAUUCCCACCCCUAAAAAUUAGCUCCCCCAGAGCUUCUCAGUGCAAUACACUUCAGGCCUGUUGCUUUAGUCUGCUAAUAAUUUAAGUGAAGAAACAGAAAUCAAAGGUGGGCUUUUCUCCUAUGUUUUCCUAUUGAAAAAUAAGAGGAGAUGCUCCCAGUUCUUUCCACAAUGAAUUUCAAGGGCUAUCCUUCUGAUCCUUGAUCUCACAAAUAGAUGGAGAUCCUUGAUCUCACAAAAAACUUUAAUAAUAUAAAAUACUGCUCUUGGCUUACUCCUUUGAUCUUCUUCCCAGUCAAAUUUUAGUGGCCUACUGUCUUUGUGAACUACCAAGGAUGGUGUGUGGGCUCCAGUGCUAGAGCAAUUGUGUUGGGAACACAAGCUCAUCUUAAUAUAUUUUAUGUUAGAAUUUGGUAGCAUAUUAAGUUUUUUUCAGAGAAACCUUGUCCAGACCAUGGUCUGAGUUUCAGUUUUUGUUAAUGUCUGCUUUAAUUAUGGAUGGUGCUUGAGAUUUUGUCACCAAGCCUAGUGAUUUGCUAUGAGGAAAACAAAACAAUCUCAUACUUCGCUUUUGCGUGUUUUCCCUGGGAUAUGCAGUCUUUUCUCACAAGUAAUGCAGCAGGUUCCUGUAAAAAGAACUGGUGGGAGAUACUGUUAGAGAAAAUUUGGUCAACCCAAUCCCUGAAAUUCAUAAAAAUCAAAAUACUUGCAAAAGUAUUCACUGGCAUUUUGUUGCAAAAUAAAAAUGAAAACCCUGAUUUUAGUACUGAUUUAUUAUUUUUUUUAAAGUAAGGAUCAGGCUUCAACAUUUCAUAACUGCAGAGAAAUAGUGGGAAUGGGACAAAACAGUCUAGAUACUCAGAGUCACCUCAAGCAUGUAUCUCAACUAAACACUUUGUAUCGUGAAACUGUGGCCUGAAACUGCUGCCUGUCAUACCAGAUAUUAUUAUCACUGAUUUAUUAUGUUACUUCAUCUUUCUUGCUUUUUGUAACCUUUUGGCAGGGAUCACGGUUUUUUUCUGUGUUUUGGGUGUCUUCUUUUGGUUUGAGGUUGGGUUUUUUUACCAGCACCUAACAGAGUCCUGAUCUACAAUUUGGCUUCCAGGUACUAGGAUAAUACAAGUAGUAAUCAUGCCUGCUGCUAAAAAAAUUUCUACCUUAUUUCAUUUGCAUUUGUUUGCCUUCAGCUUCUAGUCAUUGAUUCUUGUUAUGCCUUCUCUGAUGGAUUAAAGAGCUCUUUAGGACUCA